rnacentral:rRNA from 1 species
UACGAAGGGUGCAAGCGUUAAUCGGAAUUACUGGGCGUAAAGGGUGCGUAGGCGGUUCGUUAAGUCUGUCGUGAAAUCCCCGGGCUCAACCUGGGAAUGGCGAUGGAUACUGGCGAGCUAGAGUGUGUCAGAGGAUGGUGGAAUUCCCGGUGUAGCGGUGAAAUGCGUAGAGAUCGGGAGGAACAUCAGUGGCGAAGGCAGCCCCCUGGGUCAAGACUGACGCUCAUGCACGAAAGCGUGGGGAGCAAACAGG